AAGUCAAGCGAUCUUGCUGCAUUGAAGGAACUUGAAACGUUGCAGGUUGUUUAGCAGCGGUGAACUGAUCAGGCUCGAGAAUCCAUAAUCUGUCCUUGAUGGAAACGAAGGUUGGUCCACUUCUGCAGAAACCUCAGGGUCUUUCAGAUGAGGAUGCUCUUGCAGUGUACAGACGAAUGCAACGUCAGGGAUUGAAACCAGCCAUUGGCAUUGUUGUUGGCGCUCUCAAGGUAUGUAGAAGCAUGAGAGAUCUACAACUAGGCAGGAGAAUUCACAGGGAUGUUUCCGAGACAGGUGACUUCUCAAACAUUAUCGUCGCCAACAUCCUGCUUGAUCUGUACGCGAAAUGCGGAAGCAUGAUAGAUGCCCGUGCAGCAUUUAACAGCAUGCCGCAUCGCGAUGUUGUCUCCUGGAAUUCGAUCAUACAGGGAUAUGCACAUAGUGGAAACGGUGACAUGGCUCUACAGUUGUUUGCUCGUAUGGAAGACGAAGGGUACAAACCGGAUCGAGUAUCAGUUCUUGGUGCUCUCAAGGCUUGUUCCAGCUUGAUAGAGAAGGAUUCCGGGCAGGCUUUGGAUGGUCGACGGGUGGUAUUCUUAGAGAGGAGCAGGGAGAUUCACAGGAAAGCAGUAAAACUUGGCAUAGACUCGGAUCUCUUCGUCGCGAGCACGUUGAUUGAUCUUUACGCAAAAUGUGGGAGCUUGACAGAGGCUCGUCGAGUUUUCGAAGGAAUGAGCCAUCGUAGUGUGGUGACAUGGAACUGCAUGAUUCUCGGGUAUGCCGGCAGCGGCGAGGGUGGUGAAGCUCUCGAUAUCUAUGCUCGAAUGCGUCGUGGAGACACUCCACCGGAUGCUUUAACUUUCAUCGCAGCACUGAAAGCUUGUUGCUGUCUCGCAGACGAGGAACUUGGGACAGUUGUUCAUGGUGAAGAAGAAACGCAAGUCUUGAAGAUUCAGAGCUUGGAAAAAGGAAGGGCCGUUCACUUGGAAGCUGGUGAGCACUCGUCAAACAUCUUAGUGACCAACACACUCGUGGAGUUCUAUGCCAAGUGUGGGAGCAUGGUGGAGUCUCGCAGUUUGUUCGACAGUAUUGAACGUCCAGACGUGGUUUCUUGGAACUGCCUCACUCUUGGUUAUGCUCAGAACGGCAAAGGCGAGCAAGCUCUUGAGAUAUUCUUUAGCAUGGAUGAGAAUGGUUGCGCUCCAGAUCGUGUCACAGUUCUUGCUGCACUAAAGGCCUGCGUCACCUUGGCUGAGAAGGAACAGGGCCAGAUUGUCGACGGAGGCGUCGUUAAGCUUCGGGCUUUGGAGAGAGGCAAGGCCGUGCAUGCUCGAGCUCUCGCUUUUGUGGACGGAGAAGACCUCUCUGUUCAUAAUGCUCUCGUUGACAUGUACGCCAAGUGUGGAAGCAUGGUGGAUGCUUGGCUGGUUUUCGAAGAUAUGGUGGUGCGAGAUGUGAUAUCUUGGACGGGGAUAAUCCUGGGGUAUGCUUGCGGCGGCCAGCACAAGCUCGUCUUACAAUCGUUUGAAAGCAUGCAAGAGGAAGGUGUUAAGGGAGAUCACGUCACUGCUACUACUGCAUUUAAGGCUGUUGCGACUCUAGCGGAGAAAGAAGACGGCAAGCUUGUGAAGAAAUGGUUGGAAAAAGGCAGAGCUCUCCACUUGCAAGUCGCAGGGAUUUGCGAACUGGAUGUCUACUUUGCUAGUGUCCUGGUGGAUAUGUAUACGAAGUGUCGAAGCAUGGAGGAUGCUCGGGGAGUCUUCGACAGCCUCAAAGGUCGGGACCUUGUUCUUUGGAACUCCAUGAUCUUGGGAUACAGUCAGUGUGGAGAACCCGAGCUCGCUCAGGAGUUUUACACUCGGUUGCUGCAAGAGAAAAGCUUGGAACCGGAUGGGGUGACUUACGUUGCUGUUCUCAAAGCCUGCGCCAGCCUUGCAGCACUGGACUUCGGGCAGCAGAUUCACGUCCAAGCUUGCAGCGCUGGACUGGAUACAGAGCCAUCGGUGGGAAGCUCUCUCGUUAGCUUCUAUGGGAGGUGUGGAAGCAUGACCGAAGCCGAGGAGGCGUUUGAGGCAAUCGCGGACAAGACGGUGGUGGCAUGGAGUGCUCUCAUGGCGGGAUACAGCAGCCAGGGCGACAGCCUGCGGGUCUUUGAGCUCUUCGAGGCCAUGAAGCGUGAACGAGUGCGUCCAGACGGCGUCACCUUUGUCUCGGUGCUCACGGCAUGCAGCCACGCCGGGCUGGUUGACAAGGGACGUGAGUUCUUCGAGGCCAUGAGCAGCGAGUAUGGAGUGGCUCCAAACGUCCAGCACUACACUUGCUUGGUGGAUCUUCUGUGCCGGGCAAAUCGGCUAGACGAAGCGCUCAAGACCGUGGAGGCGAUGCCUUGCAAGGCGGACGCAGUGCUGUGGACGGCGCUGUUAAGUUCAUGCCUCAAGUGGAGAGAUGUGGAGCUUGGCAGGAUGGCUUUCCAGUCGGUUCUCAAGCUCGACGAUGGAACAGGCUCCGCGUACUCUCUCAUGUCCAACAUCUAUGCGCGAGGUGAGUCGGAUUUACAGCUCCAAGACAAAGCUCCAUAGUCAUGGGAAACAGUCAUGGGAACGAUUUAAUGCUCGACUGACUGACGCUACUGUUGGAGAGAAACGACAUGUUUUACUUCACUUCCAUCUCAGGCUGAGCUUUCUCCGCUGUUAAGUCGGACACUUUCGGCUGCUGGCAAUUCCUGAAACGUCGGGUCACGGUAUUCGAUAGGCGCUGGUAUAUCCCGCACAAAGGAACAAAAACAAGGUGAGACCCCGUUUUGACCCGCAUUUUAAAACCGUAACGAUGGCAACAUCUCCUUGAAUGGAUAGACACCAGCACAGCAGCAGCCAUCCAUGAGGCGGGGAGCUUGCGGUGCCUCCCAACCACCAGCGUUUCGAGGCAGGCAUGGGAACUCGAGAGAAACGAACAGAACACAAGCGAAGAACAAGGCUAAAACAAGGAGAGGAAGGAGAGCGCUUGAACGUGGAUGAUGGUGUGCCUUAGAUCAACGUAGCUAGUGGAAGCAAGCAAGUUUAAAAAAUGGAAGAACGAGGUUUGCGGACAUGGUGAAAAGCUCGCUCGCGGUGGUGUAGUAAUUUUUGGGCGCAACAAGGACAUCGAUGUUGUUUGUGUUGGAAAUGUGUUUUUUCGUUUCUUCAGAGGGCCCGGGAGAUGUCUUACAUCCGUCCACAGUGCGAUUCAUGCACCAGCAGUGGGCUCGAAAAAGGAAGGCAUUCACCAAUUUGGAAGGAGCUCGCUCGAGCUUGAUCAAGCUUCCAAGCGUGAAGAAGCUUUUCCUUCCAUCCAUCAGACUUUAAAGUAUCUCCGUGAUCCGUGAUCCUCGGUCCUCGGAGGAACACUUCCUCUCAAAAGUAAAAAUGCCUCUUUUGGGAGAUUCUCCAUGACACGAUCGAUGUGGGCUCCCGGCAGGAGCGCCGCCGCGCGGAUCAAUCCAUGUGGGCAGUCGCCUCCGCGGCCCGGAUUUAGUGGGUCGAUCGCGGAUUCGGGAAUCCGCCACGAAAAUCCAGGGUGGUCGUCUCCAUCGUCGCGGUGAAUGCCCAAUGUGGGUGACGAGAGGAGCAAGAUCAAA